GGGUGUUAGGCAUGUGACUGGAGUAAAGACAGCCUGUUUCCUGUAACUGUGUAUGGACUGGAGUGGUAAAUUCCUCCCACUCUGCCUGUGAAAUUCGACUUGUUUACUGUGUGAACUCUGGCAGCACCACCUGCUUUUUUAGAAGCAGAUAUCUUUUUUUUCCUUUCCUUCCCAUAUCACUGGGAAGGGACACCAGCCCCUUCUGACUGAGCACUGGUGCAGGACCGAGCUGCUGGCCUCUGCCCAGCUGUGUGUCACUCACUUGUCUGAGUUAGGCCAUGGUGGUCUAACUCAGGGCUCUCGACCCGCUGAUUCUGCUCAAGUAGCUACAAGAUUCUCUCCAUCUUUGUGGGGAGCCAGUCUUCCCACCUUGCUGCUGCAGGGCAAGCUCGACAGCUCACUGAUGCACUUGGCCAAAAGCUGCUGGAGCCAGAGGCAGUUGAGUCACCUCCUCCUGCUCAGCCUGCCAAAGAGAUGCAUGCACUGCCGAAGUGCUUUCUGAACUACUUAUGCUCCAAGAUCAUAGCCUGAAAGCCUCAGUUAUGCUGCUGCUUUUAUAAAGCCUCACAGGUAGUGGAGACUGACUUUUUUCCCUCCUUCUAGAUUUCCAGGGUUUACCAAGGCAUCGGCUGUUGGGACGAAUAACGAGUAUGCUGCAAGAUGCAGGGUUUUUUGAAAGCCACUGUGAACCUCACCCUGUAAAACUCAUGCUAGUCCAAAAGGCCAGGCAUGGGCAGGGCCGGAGAGGAUCCCAAGGUGGAGUCAUGGCUUGAAGCAGUAAAUGCUUCAGCCAUUUUCAGUGGUUUUGGGCCGGGGAUGACAAGGUGCUACUGACUGGAGAGGAGGCCUGAGGAGUGCCCAGUGUCUCCACCUCCCUGGCAGAAGGGCUUCAAGAAGCCAUGGUGGUGGUGAUGGGUCAGUCCUACAGCCACAGCUGUGCAGAGCCCCAUGCUGUGUGCAUUGCUCUGUGCAGCCGUGGCUCCUGGGGAGCCCAGCCUGGAGCAGAGAUUGGUUUGUGAGAAGCCUUAGAGGGUAACACAAAACACUGUCUCUAAACUUUAAAGGUUUCCCUCCCCUUUGCCAUCUGUUUGUCUUUACUUCAGCCUCGGAGUGGAGAGCAGCAGAAGUGGCUGUUGCUGUCCUGAGGAAGUUCAAGCUAUGAGGUUGUGAAACUUCCAGAGUAUUGUUUGUUCAUUGCACAGCUGUUCAAAAUGUUUAAUAAAGCUUUAUAAACUUUG
rnacentral:lncRNA from 1 species